rnacentral:rRNA from 1 species
AUAUUCCCGUACCCGCUUCAAUGCGCCCAUAUCGAACCUCGUGAUGCUAAGAGUCCUUAAGUCCUCUGAUGUCCUUCGGGACUAGGGGUGAGGCUGAACGCUCGAUCCGAUCGGGUAGUAGGUAAGCGAUGGGGUGACGCAGGAAGGUAGUCCAGCCCAGGCGAUGGUUGUCCUGGGGUAAGCAUGUAGGGCGGAACGUAGGUAAAUCCGCGUUCUAUUCAGCCUGAGAUGUGAUGCCGAGCCGAUUGUGGUGAAGUGGAUGAUCCUAUGCUGCCGAGAAAAGCCUCUAGUGAGUGUUGUGGCGGCCCGUACCCUAAACCGACUCAGGUGGUCAGGUAGAGAAUACCAAGGCGAUCGGGUGAACUGUGGUUAAGGAACUCGGCAAAUUGCCCCCGUAACUUCGGGAGAAGGGGGACCUCUGCUGGUGAUGGGCUUUACGUUCUGAGCUGGUGGGGGUCGCAGUGGCCAGGGGGAAGCGACUGUUUACUAAAAACACAGGUCCGUGCGAAGUCGUAAGACGAUGUAUACGGACUGACGCCUGCCCGGUGCCGGAACGUUAAGGGGACCGCUUAGCCAACGCGAGUUGGCGAAGGUGAGAACUUAAGCGCCGGUAAACGGCGGUGGUAACUAUAACCAUCCUAAGGUAGCGAAAUUCCUUGUCGGGUAAGUUCCGACCUGCACGAAUGGCGUAACGACUUCCCCGCUGUCUCAACCACAGACCCGGCGAAAUUGCACUACGAGUAAAGAUGCUCGUUUCGCGCAGCAGGACGGAAAGACCCCGGGACCUUCACUACAGCUUGACAUUGGCGUUUGGAACGUCUUGUGUAGGAUAGGUGGAGACUGGGAAGCUGUCACGCUAGUGAUGGUGGAGUCAUUGGUGAAAUACCACUCUGGUCGUUUUGAACGUCUAACUCUGGUCCGUGAUCCGGAUCGGGGACAGUGUCUGGUGGGUAGUUUAACUGGGGCGGUUGCCUCCUAAAGAGUAACGGAGGCGCCCAAAGGUUCCCUCAGCCUGGUUGGCAAUCAGGUGUUGAGUGUAAGUGCACAAGGGAGCUUGACUGUGAGACUGACAGGUCGAGCAGGAGCGAAAGCUGGGACUAGUGAUCCGGCAUCGGCGUGUGGAAGCGGUGUCGCUCAACGGCUAAAAGGUACCCCGGGGAUAACAGGCUGAUCUUCCCCAAGAGUCCAUAUCGACGGGAUGGUUUGGCACCUCGAUGUCGGCUCGUCGCAUCCUGGGGCUGGAGUAAGUCCCAAGGGUUGGGCUGUUCGCCCAUUAAAGCGGUACGCGAGCUGGGUUUAGAACGUCGCGAGACAGUUCGGUCCCUAUCCGCUGCGCGCGCAGGAGACUUGAAGGGGGCUGUCCCUAGUACGAGAGGACCGGGACGGACGAACCUCUGGUGUGCCAGUUGUACCGCCAGGUGCACGGCUGGUUGGCUACGUUCGGAAGGGAUAACCGCUGAAAGCAUCUAAGCGGGAAGCUCGCCUUGAGAUGAGGUCUCCCACCCCGUGAGGGGGUAAGGCUCCCGGUAGAUCACCGGGUUGAUAGGCCGGAGGUGGAAGCACGGUAACGUGUGGAGCUGACCGGUACUAAUAGGCCGAGGACUUGACC